rnacentral:rRNA from 1 species
UUUGACCUGGGAUGAGGUAGGGAUACCCGCUGAAC